rnacentral:RNase_P_RNA from 1 species
GGAGUUGGCCGGACAGUCGCUGCAUUUCUCGCGAAAUGGGGAGGAAAGUCCGGGCUCCUUGCGGACGAGGUGCCAGGUAACGCCUGGGCGGCGUGAGCCGACGGAAAGUGCAACAGAAAAUAAACCGCCGAAGUCUCAGCAAUGAGACUGGUAAGGGUGAAACGGUGCGGUAAGAGCGCACCGCGCCGGUGGCAACAUUCGGUGGCACGGCAAACCCCACCUGGAGCAAGGCCAAAUAGGGAAGUCGCCGCGAAAGCGGCAGCGCGUGUCCCCGCGUGCUUCCGGGUAGGCCGCUCGAGUGCGUCGGUGACGGCGCUCCCAGAUGAAUGACUGUCCUCGACAGAACCCGGCUUACAGGCCGACUCCAUUU